rnacentral:rRNA from 1 species
GCAACCUACCUAUCAGAGGGGAAUAACCCGGCGAAAGUCGGACUAAUACCGCAUAAAACAGGGGCACCGCAUGGUGAUAUUUGUUAAAGAAAUUCGCUGAUAGAUGGGCGUGCGUUCCAUUAGGUAGUUGGUGAGGUAACGGCUCACCAAGCCGACGAUGGAUAGGGAACUGAGAGGUUGGUCCCCCACACUGGUACUGAGACACGGACCAGACUCCGUACGGGAGGCAGCAGUGAGGAAUAUUGGUCAAGUGGGGCGGGAGCCUGAACCAGCCAAGUCGCGUAGGAAGGAAGAAGGAUCUAUGGUUACGUAACUUCUUUGCGAGGGAAUAAAGUGCAGGACGUGUCCUGUUUUGUAUGUACCCUGAGAAUAAGGAUCGGCUAACUCCGUGCCAGCAGCGGC